GGGAGUGGUUCUGGCACAAGAAUCUGGGCUCCCCAGCACAGCAUGUCACCACCAUCAUGUGGUGUAGUUUGGGCAACAUGGAUGCCAGAGCAUGCAGGUCUGAGUUUCCAGAAAAGCUGUGAUGACACGCAGCCAGUGUCCAGCUGGUGAGUACUGGCAGGAUAAUCAGGCUUCCUGAGGAGAGGCUGGGAAGAUACAGGUGUCAGGCUCCCAGUUGUGUAGAUGAAAUUGUAGCUCAGAGCUGUGUCCUGGAGGAGAAUCACAGCUUUCCACGUCAGACAGAUCAGGCUUUCCCAACCUCAGCACCACUGACCUUUGAGCCGGAUGAUCCUUUGUCAUGGGAGACAUUGUGAAACAUCCCCUGGGGUGGGGGGGCGCACAUCAUCCCUAUUAGAGAAACACCAAAGGAGACAGAAGGUAUGAGUGCCCUGCAGAGAUUCAGAACCAUGGACAAGACCAAGACAUGUGCACGGAGUCUGUGGUUGUCCAUUCCCAGAAUGUAAGUGUGGGACGGAGUAUAUGACACACUGGCUAAGAAGGAUUUGAGGCCAAGCUUCAGCAGGAAAGAAUUGAGUGUUACCUGAUUAAAGCCAAGACCAGGGGAUGAUGGCACUCCUGCCAUUGACUUGUUUCGCCAGGACUCCGGGAGGGCGGGCAAGGGUGUUGCUGACUCUGCGGGCCUCAGAUAAUGUCUGGUUUCCAACACGACCUCCCACCUUUCUGUAAACAGAGGACACUGAGCCUGCUGAUGUGUUUGUUGUCCAUGCUUGAUGGAGGGGCUACACUGCCAUGCUUGAUGGAGGGGCUACCAUGCCCUGGGCAGGCCGGUGGGGCCAUUGGAAGGUCUAGCUGGACGGAACAAAUCUGCAUUUACAGAUUGGAGGCUUGCACGCAUGGACCUCCCAGUUUAACAUGAGAACAGACAGUCUGUGUUGUCUAAGACUGUGGCAGUUUAUGUGGGAGGCCGACGCUCGCUCAUUUAGAACCUCAACAGAAAUCCCCAUUCCGUGAAAGGUGCUGGUCCCCCUUCCCCUUCACAUGUCGCUAAACGAUAGGGCCCCCAUCAUGAAGAUGGAUAGCUGAUGAGGUAAAACAAUUAAGCACAGGCAUCUCUUUGCUUACCUUAGACAUCUGAAGUUUUUAUAGGGAAAAGGGCUAAAUCAAUUUUCAAAGUUGACACUGUGCAUUUAUCACUUUUUGCCUUCACGGUCUUUCUGUGAUGCACUGACUUAAGUGCUGGGCACUGGGGAAUGAGUGCCAAUUACCUUUUUAAAGAAAGGGAAGGCUGAACUGACACGCUGGUCUCCCCUGGGGUUCAGAGAUGCUCUCUGUCUUAAAGUGGGGCAUUUUAAAGUCGGGAGACCUCCAAAAGCUCCAGGUUCCUUCCAACUGCAAGAUAGCCCAUUCACCAAGACGUUCAAGAUCAGAACAGUUGGGACCGGAUGGAAGAAAUGAUGUGUCCAGGCGUUCCCAGCGGGGUAUGCUCAUUCCAUCCUGCAAGGGUAACCCUGUGCUACCUUCCACAGCCACUUUCUGUACAUCUGAAUUUUAUGCCCUCACACUGAGUCAGGCAGCACCCUGGAGCAGCUUUACAGUCAGUGAAGAGUCCAUGAAAAACGUGAAGAGAAGCCUGGCUUAGAAAAGACUUCGUGGUGGAAGUGCAAUUUUGGAAAGCGGAAGAUGCAGACAGAUAUAGAGCAGAGUGAGAGAAGGGUGACGGCUACCAGCAUGCAUAAACCAGGGGGUACAUGAGCCCUGAAUACACUCUAGAGAAGAGGAGGAGCCCUCAGGGGCUGACCAUGGCUGGCAAGGAAAAAAAAAAAAGGAAAGGAAAACAACUCUAACAGUCAGCCGAGUAGUGGGAAAAUGGCCUUCAUCCUCCAAGGAGGCUAAGAAGAAAUCACGCCAAGGACUAGCACCCCAAGACACAAAGUGGAAUCACACAGCCAUGAAAGGGCGCCCCCUCAGAACUGGACAAACAGUGUCCUAUUCCAUUCGGUGGCCUCCGAAGGCAAUGCUUAGCCUCAGGUGCUGCCCUGGUAGAAAAGAACUGUAAGGCAGUCAUGUCACUCACAGUAGGACAGACCAUUGUCACUACUUAAUAACACACACAACCAGAGCUGGCUAGGUUAUGUCACAGAACUAAGCCACAAGAUGAUAGUGUUUCAAUAAAUGCAUUUGAUUGGUGAUGGAAUCAAAUGCCCUAGUCCCCUUAUUUUGUUUUAAACAUUUUAUAUUUUAUUUUAUUUAAAAAUUUUUAUUUUUAGUUAUUUAUUUGGCCAUGCUGCA
rnacentral:lncRNA from 1 species